GAUGGAGCCACGUGGUGACAGAAGCAGAGGCUACAGCGAGGAAGCCCAGCAUUGCCAACCACCACCACCACCACCACUUCAGAAGACAGAGGGAAACAUUCUCCGCUCCAGCCUGCAGACAGAGCAGGCUCCGCCAGCACCUUGACCUUGGACUCCCAGCCUCCAGAGGAGAAACCACUUAAAAUAGUCUUGGCCGGCAAUACCACGGGAAAUAUCGCCUUCGAGGUGAGCUGUCCGCGGGCUCCUACUCAGAAAUCCCAAUCCAGCUCUCCGAUUCUUAAUAUCACCUCGCACGCCCAUCCCCGGGCCCCAGACACUCCGGAGAAGGUAAGAGUCCCGCGUUCCUGAGAAUGGAGAUCCGAGGGGACUUUAAACCGCGGGUGAGCCGCGCAGAGACGCGAGCGAGGAACUGACCUUCUCUCGAAGGCUGCAGUGGACGUCCGCGGCGACGCGCCCUUCCCACCACGGCUCAUCCAUCCCCGCGAGCAGCUCUGCGAUCCGCGGCUACCGGGCCCUCGGAGCGCUCCCUGCGUGGACACGGGCAACUUCAGCGGCUCCGACGCCCACAGUCCCUAUAUCCUCGCCGGUCCCCGGCACGGCCCGGACGGGCGCCCCCUCCUGCCCCGCUCCGCGCCCCGGAAAGGUUGCGGUGCCCCCUCCCUUCUGCUCGCUGGACCCCCGAUAGAUCAAGAGCUGUGCAACAACUUGCAGAAUUUUUAUCUUCCCUGUGCAAAAGUUGCAGAGAAAGUUGCCUCCUCCGCCCGAAGCUGGGGCUCCUGCGGCGGCCACCCGCUUGCCCGUCCCGAACUCCUCCCCCGCCGCCCAGCCUUUGUCCUGCUCCCACAUCCUGCCCUCCAGCCCGGGGCGAGACUCACGCAUCCCUCUUCAGGCGUGGGGGGCUGCGGGCACCCAGCCCCUUCCGGGGCUGAGCCGGCUGUGCCCUCUGGCUUGGCUGCACGCGGCUGGACCCCGACCCAGCCCGCUCCGCGCUCUCGCCGGCCGCCUCCACAGCCCGGCUGGCCCCAGCCGCCGCGCCCCUGCGUGCGCUCGGGUCCCGCCGCGGCUCGCAGGAUCCCGGCCGCCGGGGGCCUCCCUCCCUCGCUGGGGGAAUUGGGGGCCGGGCCUCGCGCAUGCGCCAGCAGCGCCCCGCGCCCCGCAGGGCGGGGGGCUGGGACUCCGAGUCUUUCUUUCCGCGGCUCUGGCCGGGCUUCCUGUCCGCCCUCCGCCGUCGCCUCCGCGGAAAGCUUUCUCUCACCUUCGCGGAGACUCGCCGGCUUGUUCUGCCGUGGGAGAUGGGAUUCCAAAAGGACCGUUCCCACGAAUGCUCCAGAAAAGCCCUGAUGGUAAAGGCGCAGAAGUCAGGGGUAGUAGUUGUGCCCCCUGGGAAGUAUCGACCCACGCCUUACAGUGGAGGAAAACCCACCAACACCAGGAAUGAAAAGCAUUGUCUUUUUAAUUUGGUUGUUUUCCGAAAGGCGCUUUCUUGAAGCACCCUGCUGAGCGCGCGGCAGGGAGCUCUCCUGGUGUUUGGGAUAUUUUUGGAGAUUCACUAGCUUGGGAUCGAACCCCACCAUCACCAGCAGCAGCUGGGUGAUUUUUGCCAAUCAGAGCCUGGGACCCCUGCGUGUAAACUGGGCAUAAAAGUUGCCACAAGCUGCUGGAGAUGUUUUAUUAAAUGAUUUAAUGCAUGUAAAGGGGCAGUCACCAUCCUGGGUUUAACCGAAAAACAACCGUUGCCGAACGAAGAGCCUUGAUUAUCUGACCGAUUUCCUCCCACGUGAAGAUCCAUUUGGAAAAAUUUUAAAGUUCACUAUGAUAAACUUUGAGCCUCGAAAAGAAGUUUUAAUGUAAAAAACAAAUGCUGGAAAAUCAUGUAAAAUACUUAGAAAUAAACAAUAAAUGUUCAGGCUCUUAAUGAAGAGAUUGUAAAGAUUGUAACAUAGUAAGUCUUGAAGAAAUAGCAGGAAGUAAAAAAUGCCUUUACCUAUAUUAUUAUAAUUCCAAAGGUUGUGGGUAACAUUUUUUUCAUGUUAAAAAUUAUGCAAUGUCUAUGAGAAAAGCUAAGAAAUUUUUAUUUUAAAAAUUGGUUAGACUUCUAUUAUAAAUUUUAAAGCAAACAGCAAAGCUAUAAUUAAAAUGGGUAUUGACAGAGAACUGAUGAAGUUAUCAGCUGAAUAAUCCAAAGUCUAGAAACAUUUGAUAUAAUUAAUUCACUGUAAGAUAAAGACAUUUCAUUUUGGUUGGGGGAAGAAUAAACUGAUAAACUAAGUUGAAAUUAAUUUUGGGGAAAAAGUAAAACAGAAUUUAUUUAAACCAUCAUCAAAAUAGAUGUAGGAGAAGUAGAAGAAAACAUAGGUGAGAGGAGGAAGGCCUAGCUGUUAAAGCAAAGGAAGAUACCAAAAGAAAGGAUGAAUUAGUAACUUUGAAUAAAUAUGCAAAACAUAUACAUUAAAUGCCCUCACCAAAAAGGCAAAUGACAAGUGAGGAAAGAUGGUUUUAACAAACAUGACAACAGGUUGGUCUUCCUAUAUAAGCCACUUAAAAGUCCCUAAGUCAAACACUGAUGCCAUGCACGUGGAAAUGAAAAAGGACACGAACAGACUUGCCACCUAAGAAGAAAUUGGUGUGUGUAAUGUCAUUUUUUAUAUGCCUACAUUCACAAGCAAACACAUUAACUUUUUCUUCUUAUAGCAGGAGCGUAUAUCUUUGUCAAAGAUGUUAUAAAACUUAAUACACAGGUUGUCAAACAGUGUUGUUGGAAAUAUAAUUUUAUGUUUGUGAAAGACAACAUAAAUCAAAAAGUUGAAAAAUGUGUUAUCUGAUCCAACUAUUCUCCCUUUGGGGAUUUAGUCUAAAAUAUAGGAGUUGGUAACAGCAGACACUGAUUUGCAAGGGGUUUCAUCAACGUGUGUGUGUGUGUGUGUGUGUGUGUGGUGAAGUAUUACAUCAGGGGACUGAUAAAUAAUGAUUUGUCUCAAAUAUUUUCAAAAAGAAUGCUAAUAUGUUGGGAAAGUGUUCACAAUAUAUUUAAAGAUGAGAAGAGCCACUGUGUGGCAUAGUAACUUAAGCCACCAUCUGCAAUGCCAGCAUUCCACAUGAGAGUGGGUUCGAGUCCCAGCUGCUCCACUUCCCAUCCAUCUCCCUGCUAAUGUCCCUGGGAAAGCAGUGGAGGAUGGUCCGAGCACUUGAGCCCCUGCCACUAACAUGAGAGACCCAUAUGAAGCUCCUGGCUUGGGCCAAGAGAACAU